GAUGAAGAACGUAGCGAAAUGCGAUAAGUAAUGUGAAUUGCAGAAUUCAGUGAAUCAUCGAAUCUUUGAACGCACAUUGCGCCCGCCAGCAUUCUGGCGGGCAUGCCUGUUCGAGCGUCAUUUCAACCCUCGAGCCCCCCCGGGGGCCUCGGUGUUGGGGGACGGCACACCAGCCGCCCCCGAAAUGCAGUGGCGACCCCGCCGCAGCCUCCCCUGCGUAGUAGCACACACCUCGCACCGGAGCGCGGAGGCGGUCACGCCGUAAAACGCCCAACUUUCUUAGAGUUGACCUCGGAUCAGGUAGGAAUACCCGCUGAACUUAAGCAUAUAAUAAGCGGAGGA
rnacentral:misc_RNA from 1 species